rnacentral:rRNA from 1 species
GAUGAACGCUGGCGGCGUGCCUAAUACAUGCAAGUCGAGCGAACGGACGAGAAGCUUGCUUCUCUGAUGUUAGCGGCGGACGGGUGAGUAACACGUGGAUAACCUACCUAUAAGACUGGGAUAACUUCGGGAAACCGGAGCUAAUACCGGAUAAUAUUUUGAACCGCAUGGUUCAAAAGUGAAAGACGGUCUUGCUGUCACUUAUAGCUGGAUCCGCGCUGCAUUAGCUAGUUGGUAAGGUAACGGCUUACCAAGGCAACGAUGCAUAGCCGACCUGAGAGGGGGAUCGGCCACACUGGAACGGAGACACGGUCCAGACUCCUACGGGAGGCAACAGUAGGGAAUCUUCCGCAAUGGGCGAAAGCCUGACGGAGCAACGCCGCGUGAGUGAUGAAGGUCUUCGGAUCGUAAAACUCUGUUAUUAGGGAAGAACAUAUGUGUAAGUAACUGUGCACAUCUUGACGGUACCUAAUCAGAAAGCCACGGCUAACUACGUG